UUCCAUCGCGACCCCAGGUCAGGCGGGACUACCCGCUGAGUUUAA
rnacentral:rRNA from 1 species